rnacentral:tRNA from 1 species
GCGGGUGAGUGAGACAGCAACACGUCGGCCUCAUACGCCGAAGAACCGGGUGCGAUUCCCGGGCCCGCG